rnacentral:lncRNA from 1 species
GGUAUUCUGAACUGUUAAGCCAUUGUUGCAUUCAAAUCUCAAUUGUGUCUAACAGUCUGUUCGCAACAAUUUUUUGUAGUGUUGAAAAUUACCCGCAAGCAAAAAAUAAAUCAGAAACAGUAAUUUUAUUAAAUGAAUCUUGUGAGUAAUUUUAUUAAAUGAAUCUUGUGAGUACGAUUCUGUUCUCUUGAUUCUUCUCUCAUAAGCUUUUCUGUGAUUCGAGGGCCUUUCGUAGCGUAAUUCUUGAACCUCUAGAUGAUUUAAACCUCCUAGAAAGCGUUUGGAUAUCUAGGAAUGUCGGAUAACACUUCAUCUUAUCGAGGGAUAACAUUUCAUCUUAUCGAGUUGAUCUCCGAGGGAACUCCAUUGGUCAAUUCUUUGAAGAGCUGUGUAAUCAAUGCAUAUGUUUUCUCCAAUGCUUGUCUGACCCCAAAAAAUUAUGUAAUCCUCCUAUUUAUAGUUGUAGGAGGUAGACAGUCCCAUGUGUAAAUAACUUCUUCCUUAUUUUGAUUGGUCCAUCAAAUCAUCAAGCUUAUCACAAAUGUUGUGUGAUAAGGUUGCUUGUAAUUGGCCAAAAAUAUAUUGUUUGGGACACUUGGC